UGAAUAAUUGUCGAUAGUCGCUAUUGAAUCUGCAACCACAGAUGAGUCAAUGGUGCCUGAAACCUACAUCUCUGUCGUUGUUGAUGACUCAAUGGUGGACGAAUCUGAAAUCGCCGACAUUGAGGACUCAACGGUGGACAAAACUGAUUUUGCCGAUUUUGAGGACUCAAUGUUGAUCGAAAUUGAUUUUGCCGACGUAGAGGACUCCAUGGUUAAUGAAACUGAUUUCGCCGACGAACCAUACCCACUAGAUGAAUUGGAGAUUAAAGCCUAAUUGAUUUGCUAGAAGAUCGAUUCCACGGUGUCAUUGAUGAUUCACCCUGUGCCCAAAUACGAAAUUGGCAUCGGCUUAGAUGAAGAGGUGCUUAUGGAAAUUAAAUUGAGGAUUGCAAAAAAAAAAAAUUUUGCUCGAAGCUCGAUUCAACGGCGCAACCUCAGAUCCGUAAGAUGGUGGUUUAAGCCACCAGCAUGUUCCGAUCCUUUGAGUUUAAUAAGGCACUAUUAUCUGUGAUAUGCAUGUGUUGAUUGAAUUUGUGGUGGCCUGAAUUUCUAAUUUUGAUUGAAUUUUUGAUUGAAGAUUCUUAGUUUCUUUUCUCUGUUUGAAUACGCAUUUGAAUACUUAAGAGCAUAUCAUAAAAGCUGAUACUUAGAUAAUUCAUAGUAAGAUGGCAGUUUACAUUCUAAACAACAAUUCCAAAAAACACCACAUGUUGCUUAUGUUGUAAACAUAAGGCAAAAAUACAAAAAAAAAAAAAAAUAGCCAUGUUUCAUAUGUUCCUACUGUUCUAGAGCCCUCUGUAGAGGGCUCAUAGGCUGCUCCUGCUCCAUUCUCGUAAUCCUUUAGAUAAUUCAAGCAAUUCAGAACAAGUUUCUUUUCAACUUCAAUAUAGUUGGGUAUUGUUUCUCUUCUUGCUAGUGCUUUCUUGCCAAUAUGUGGUAUCUUGUAAUUGUUGCUUCCUUUCACCUUCAUAAUGUCUUUGUAACACCCUUGCAAAUAUGUGGUAUCUUGUAAUUGUUGCUUCCUUUCACCUUCAUAAUCUCUUUGUAACACCCUUGCAAGGUGAGGAACACACUGUUUAAUUUCUGUGGUAAUAUCCUGUCAAAUGCAUUAGUAACAUUCUUCUAUAAAUCGUCGACACCUUUGGAGGCUUUCUCAUGUUGUAGGGUUUGAAUAGCUCUAAAAAAACCAAGGUCAUUCACAUGUGUAUCUGUGUUAUUGGCUGGCUGACAAACAAGUUGGAUUCUGAAUCUAUCUCUAUUUGCAGUUGCAAUAAAGUCUG
rnacentral:lncRNA from 1 species